rnacentral:rRNA from 1 species
UGGCGACAGGCGCACGGGUGCGUAACGCGUAUCAAACCUGCCUCAUACUCGGGGAUAGCCUUGCGAAAGUAAGAUUAAUACCCGAUGUUGUUAUGUUACCGCAUGGUGAUAUAACCAAAGAUUUAUCGGUAUGAGAUGGUGAUGCGUCCGAUUAGGUAGUAGGCGGGGUAACGGCCCACCUAGCCAUCGAUCGGUAGGGGUUCUGAGAGGAAGGUCCCCCACACUGGAACUGAGACACGGUCCAGACUCC